UUCCAUCACUUUCUGUUGAACUUCUGUUAUUAUUGCUCAUAAGUUUUAAAGAUUUUAUAAUAUUAUGGUGAAGAGCUGUUUGAAUAACGAAUCACCGAAAUUUACUAUAAAGUUGACCUCACCACUUUUGCUUUCAAAUCGAAUAGACGACUGAACUAGCUCGUUAUAGUCUAUUUUGUUAUUUAGAAAAAUUUUAAGGAUAUGCAAUUGUAAAACCUAAUGCUGAGUGUAAUGUGGUGAAGUCAAUAUACAACGUUGUGAUAUUAUUUCAGAAAAAUUUAAUUCAAACUAACCAUAUAACAUCCUUAACCGAAUUGUUUUUCUAUCGAAAUCAGCUUAUAGGGCAUGACUGUAUUUACAAACUUUAUGUUA